AGUUCAAAGUUCAAAGGUGAGUGCUUUGAAGUGGAAGAGUCUCAAAAAGAAAUCAACAUCAAGAAUCCUCCUGACAGAGACUCCCACAACCUGAAAGUGCAGAGUUAACUACCAGUCUCAUCUCUUUCUUUACUUUCACAUGAAAGAGCUGAUCCCAUCACCACUAAACAGUGGUUGGAAACUUGACAAUGGUAAAUGUGUCUCCCUU